rnacentral:misc_RNA from 1 species
UACGUAGGGGGCAAGCGUUGUCCGGAUUUAUUGGGCGUAAAGCGAGCGCAGGCGGUCUUUUAAGUCUGAUGUGAAAGCCCACGGCUCAACCGUGGAGGGUCAUUGGAAACUGGGAGACUUGAGUGUAGGAGAGGAAAGUGGAAUUCCACGUGCAGCGGUGAAAUGCGUAGAUAUGUGGAGGAACACCAGUGGCGAAGGCGACUUGCUGGACUACAACUGACGCUGAGGCGCGAAAGCGUGGGUAGCAAACAGG